rnacentral:rRNA from 1 species
UACGUAGGGUGCAAGCGUUAAUCGGAAUUACUGGGCGUAAAGCGUGCGCAGGCGGUUAUAUAAGACAGUUGUGAAAUCCCCGGGCUCAACCUGGGAACUGCAUCUGUGACUGUAUAGCUAGAGUACGGUAGAGGGGGAUGGAAUUCCGCGUGUAGCAGUGAAAUGCGUAGAGAUCCGGAGGAACACCGACGGCGCAGGCAGCGUCCUGGCCGCUUGCUGACACUGAGGCACGAAAGCUGGGGGAGCAAACAGG